rnacentral:rRNA from 1 species
AAAUUGAAGAGUUUGAUCAUGGCUCAGAUUGAACGCUGGCGGCAGGCCUAACACAUGCAAGUCGAACGGUAACAGGAAGCAGCUUGCUGCUUCGCUGACGAGUGGCGGACGGGUGAGUAAUGUCUGGGAAGCUGCCUGAUGGAGGGGGAUAACUACUGGAAACGGUAGCUAAUACCGCAUAAUGUCGCAAGACCAAAGGGGGGGGACCUUCGGGCCUCUUGCCAUCGGAUGUGCCCAGAUGGGAUUAGCUUGUUGGUGGGGUAACGGCUCACCAAGGCGACGAUCCCUAGCUGGUCUGAGAGGAUGACCAGCCACACUGG